rnacentral:rRNA from 1 species
UACGUAUGGUGCAAGCGUUAUCCGGAUUUACUGGGUGUAAAGGGAGCGUAGACGGAGUGGCAAGUCUGAUGUGAAAACCCGGGGCUCAACCCUGGGACUGCAUUGGAAACUGUCAAUCUAGAGUACCGGAGAGGUAAGCGGAAUUCCUAGUGUAGCGGUGAAAUGCGUAGAUAUUAGGAGGAACACCAGUGGCGAAGGCGGCUUACUGGACGGUAACUGACGUUGAGGCUCGAAAGCGUGGGGAGCAAACAGG